AGAGUUUGAUCCUGGCUCAGAUUGAACGCUGGCGGCAGGCUUAACACAUGCAAGUCGAGCGGAAACGAUGGGAGCUUGCUCCCAGGCGUCGAGCGGCGGACGGGUGAGUAAUACAUAGGAAUCUGCCCAUUAGUGGGGGAUAGCCCGGGGAAACCCGGAUUAAUACCGCAUACGCCCUUCGGGGGAAAGCAGGGGAUCUUCGGACCUUGCGCUAUUGGAUGAGCCUAUGUCGGAUUAGCUAGUUGGUGGGGUAAGAGCCUACCAAGGCGACGAUCCGUAGCUGGUCUGAGAGGAUGAUCAGCCACAUCGGGACUGAGACACGGCCCGAACUCCUACGGGAGGCAGCAGUGGGGAAUAUUGGACAAUGGGGGCAACCCUGAUCCAGCCAUGCCGCGUGUGUGAAGAAGGCUUUCGGGUUGUAAAGCACUUUCAGUGAGGAGGAAAACCUUAAGGUUAAUAACCUUGAGGCUUGACGUUACUCACAGAAGAAGCACCG
rnacentral:rRNA from 1 species